GAUGAACGCUGGCGGCGUGCCUAAUACAUGCAAGUCGAGCGAACAGACGAGGAGCUUGCUCCUCUGACGUUAGCGGCGGACGGGUGAGUAACACGUGGAUAACCUACCUAUAAUACUGGGAUAACUUCGGGACACCGGAGCUAAUACCGUAUAAUAUAUUGAACCGCAUGGUUCAAUAGUGAAAGACGGUUUUGCUGUCACUUAUAGCUGCAUACGGGCCGCAUUAGCUGGUUGGGAAGGUAACGGCUUACCACGGCGACGAUGCGUAGCCGAGCUGAUAGGGUGAUCGGCCACACUGGAGCUGAGACACGGUCCAGACGCCUACGGGAGGCAGCAGUAGGGAAUCUUCCGCAAUGGGCGAGAGCCUGACGGAGCGACGCCGCGUGAGUGAUGAAGGUCUUCGGAGCGUAAAGCUCUGUUAUUAGGGAAGAACAAAUGUGUAAGUAACUAUGCACGUCUUGACGGUACCUAAUCAGAAAGCCACGGCUAACUACGUG
rnacentral:rRNA from 1 species